rnacentral:rRNA from 1 species
UACGUAGGGACCGAGCGUUGUCCGGAUUCAUUGGGCGUAAAGAGCUCGUAGGCGGCUGCUCAAGUCGAAUGUGAAACCUCGAGGCUUAACCUCGAGCCUGCAUUCGAUACUGGGCGGCUAGAGUCUGGUAGGGGGAUCUGGAAUUCCUGGAGUAGCGGUAAAAUGCGUAGAUCUCGGGAGGAACACCAAUGGCGAAGGCAGCUUCUUGGUCCAUAUCUGACGUUGAGACACGAAAGCGUGGGGAGCAAACAGG